GUUUGACCCCCCGAAACCAGGCGAGCUACUUCUAAACAGCCACAAGCCAACCCUUCUCCGUCGCAAAGGAGUGGGAAGAUUUAAAAGUAGAGGCGACACACCUACCGAGCCUGGAGAUAGCUGGUUAUUUAGGAAAAGGAUUUAAGUCCACCUCUAAGUUUUUUUAGCAUACUCAGACAAAAAUAAACUUACAAGUCAUUCAAAUAAGGUACAGCCUACUUGAAUAAGGAAACAGCCUACAACACAGGGUAAUGUUCACCCCCGUGACUAGGUGGGCCUAAAAGCAGCCAACCCUCAAAAAGCGUCCAAGCUUCAUCACUACAACAAUUAAUCCCAUCAUUAACCCACAACCCCCAACCACUACUAAAUAACCCCAUACACAUAUGGGAGAUAUUAUGCUAGAACUAGUAACAAGAAGAAGCACUUCUCCUAGAUAAAAGCUUAAGCCACAGUGAACCGUUCGCCGGCAAUUACCGCCACUAAC
rnacentral:rRNA from 1 species